rnacentral:rRNA from 1 species
GAUGAACGCUGGCGGCGUGCCUAAUACAUGCAAGUCGAGCGAACGGACGAGAAGCUUGCUUCUCUGAUGUUAGCGGCGGACGGGUGAGUAACACGUGGAUAACCUACCUAUAAGACUGGGAUAACUUCGGGAAACCGGAGCUAAUACCGGAUGAUAUUUUGAACCGCAUGGUUCAAAAGUGAAAGACGGUCUUGCUGUCACUUAUAGAUGGAUCCGCGCUGCAUUAGCUAGUUGGUAAGGUAACGGCUUACCAAGGCAACGAUGCAUAGCCGACCUGAGAGGGGGAUCGGCCACACUGGAAAUGAGACACGGUCAAGACUACUACGGGAGGCAGCAGUAGGGAAUCUUCCGCAAUGGGAGAAAGCAUGACGGAGCAACGCCGCGUGAGUGAUGAAGGUCUUCGGAUCGUAAAACUCUGUUAUUAGGGAAGAACAUAUGUGUAAGUAACUGUGCACAUCUUGACGGUACCUAAUCAGAAAGCCACGGAUAACUACGUG